rnacentral:lncRNA from 1 species
AGUUCAAACCGAGUUGGAAUUUAAAUUAUUUUAGUCAGACUCAGCUCGGGCCCAUUGCUUAAGCGGGCCCACUAAAACCCCACAACUGGUACAGUCGGCACAUUACCGCCAAAACACAUGAAUCAGUGACAAUUCUCUCUCUUGCCAAUUGCCAAUUGCCAAUUGCCAUAACGGCCAAAGACAUCUCUCAUUUCCUUAACAAUAAUAUCUCAUUGGCUUAAACACCAUCUUUUCUAGUGAUUUUAACUGCCUCGUUUGAUAGGGGAUAUAAGCCCUAUAUUGCUUCUUUAUCUCUCCUAAUUGAGUGUUUGAUAGGAUUGCUUAAUAGUGGCCUUGGCCCGUAGAAAAGCCAAGGCCCGCAGCUAAUUCACUAUUCCUCUUAGAAAUUGGAACCCGCCUCCCCCAAGUUACAUUAUACUGAUUUGAACAGUAACAAGUAUUAAUUUAUGGUUGACAAAUUUAUCCCCCUCAGCCUUGAAACGAAAAAAUGUGAAGAAACGGAGGAGAGAAGAAUCGAGAGGAUAGCGACUCCGGUGAAAAACCAAUGGUCGACAGCGACCUUACUCGUCGGAUUUCGGAUUAGGGGGCAGCGAAGCAUCUGUUUUGUGAGCGGAGUUUCAGUGAAGUGGGAUGAACAGAAAGAGAGAGAACCGAUGAAGCGUUGGCUUCGCCGGACUAUAGGGCGGCGACCUCCCCGAUUUUGAGAAAGAAAGAAGGGGCUAUUCCUUGUGAAGAAACUAGGGCUCGAUUCCUUGAGCCUGUGUAUUUUGAAAUAAGGGAUGAUAGAGAAAGAUUGAGAGAGACGUGGGGCUGGAGCCAGAGGCGACGAUUCACCGGUCCCUCAACAGCGUCGCCGGCGACCUCGCCUGGACCGGAUCAGAAGAUGGGGGCUCGUCCCUUUUCAGGUUGUGUUAUAGAAGAAGAAGAAGAAGAAGAAGAAGAAGAAGAAGAAGAAGAAGAAGAAGAAGAAAAAGUGGAUGGGGGCGGCUGGGAGGUUGUGGGAGGGGUGGGAGGUUUCUGUGAAUAAAGAAAAGGGUGGGGGUAGGGGUUGGGACACGUUUUUUACUUUGAGGGGAGGGGUGGGACACGUGCUGAUCAUUGUUGGUUUUUUUUUUUAAUUUAUUUAUUUAAAUAUAAGGUUAAAAUUGUAAUUUCCUCUUUAAUCUAUAAUUGUAUUUUUUGUAUCAAACAAUAAUAUUAGUUAUCUUAGUAUUUAUAUCUUAUUUAUCAAACAACUAUAAAAUAUUAACAAUCUCACCUAAUCUAUAUUAUUUAUCUAGAUUUUAUUUAUCAUUCAUUAUCUCAAAUUGUGUAUCAAACAUAGUAUAUAAUUUUUGGUACAUAUUUAUGGAAUAUCAAUAGUAACAUUGAGUCCUAAUACUAAUAAUUUUAUUAAUUUAUUUUUGGCUUGUCACGAUUAUGAUGACAAUAAAGUAGAAAAUUUUCAAUUUGCCCACUGUUUUUAUGUAAAUUUUUUCGAUAAACUGAAUUUAGUGCCUUCUCAUUUUUCUUGAACGGCAUUGAUAUUUAAUUCUAGAUAGAAAACUCUUGAUGUUUGUGUAAAUACCUAUUUCUUGAUCAGAUAGGUUUGGUUUGCUUUCCUCCUUUUAGUUCUUUUGACGAUGAUGGCAAUGCAAAAAUCGUAGCUUUUCCGGAAUAUGGAGAAAAUAUGAGAUUGCAUGGUGAAAAGAAAAUAUGAGAUUGCAUGGUGAAAAGGGCAAUUAUGGGAAGUAUUCUGGGUGGGUUUGUAUUGCCAUUGCUUCUUUUGUCAGGUACUGAAUCAAAUUUUCUGUGUUUAUUACACCAGAAAAUGUAUUAUUGUGGUGAUUCCUAGGAUUCACGCAAGAUUCACGCAUGAUUGUUUAAGAAUUAUAAUCACACCCUUGAAGGUUGAAGAGAAAGAGAGUGGGCAAUUUUGUGCUUGAAUGCAUGUUUGUGGAGAUGAAAUCGUAUUGUCCCUGUUCUUUCUUUGAUUCUUUGAACUUUUUAUGAUAAAUUAGGGAUUUAAUAUAAAUUGGGAUUAAGUUAUAAAGAGUAGAUAUUGGAAAUGAUGUAGCAUUCCUCAAAAUAUAACUUGAAUAUCAAUUUGAACGUUGCUCUGCAUGAUUUCACCUUUUUAUGCAUUUAUAAAGUUUUGUAGUUUGAUUCUAUUCUUAUUAUGACCUUUGUGGUUUUUGCAGCUGGGUUACUGAAUUGGAGCUUGAUUUCUUUCAUUAAUUUGACGACUUCUCUUGUUCUGCGGUUUACUGCCCCAAAAAGAGGUAGAGCUUUGGCUUUUGGACUUUUGAAUAAGGCUACUUCAUCAUAAACUUACUUGUUGGCAUAAUACGUUUUGUGUACUUUUUCUUUUCUCUCUGAUUUUUUUUAUUAUUAUUAAAAAGAAAUUUAAAAUGUUUGCAUCUCUCAUAUUUACUGUGAUUGCAUGACUUGCUGCAUUGUUGUUUUCUUGUUGUAUGAUUGUCUUAUCCCAUUUCCAACCAAAUGAUGUCUGUAUUCUUUCUCCUCGUUUUCUUUUGGUGCAGGGUUUCGAUUCAAAGGAAGGGUUCUAUCCUUGUGGUUUGUUUUCAUAUUCGCGGCACUGGUUAUAUUCUUACAAGUGAUUUUUCUUACUCUAUGUGCUACUCGGGAUUCGGAAUGGAGCAUUGCAGAUGCCUGGUGGAUAAAGCUACUUGGAUUAAUGAAGUAGGAUUUCUCAAAUUUUGCUACAAUUUGUGAAUACUGGUAGUUAUAUAGAACAAUUAACUAAGGUGUUAAAUGGUAUAAAAAUGGAGAAGAUAAGGUUUCAAGCAAAAUAUAGGACAAUAUCUUUACUGCCUCAUUAUACCUCAGUAUAUCAACACAAAUUGUUGAUAACUGUUUAAUGUGUUAAAUAUGCAUUUUCAGGUUUCACUCAUGGAGAUCUCCAAAAGUCAUCUAUUUCCUGGUUGUAGAAUCAUUAGUGGGAUUCGUUGCUUUAACUGAGAUCAACAGGAACAAAUUUGGCUUUAUAGAAUAUGGAGGUUCUUUCUGUGGCUUCCAAGAUUCUUUCUGGGGUUAUAUAUCUUCAGUUUUUAAUCAAAUAGGUUCGUCCAAGUUGACUGUGUUUUCGUUCUUAUGUUCAGUAUUUGUCAGAGAGAAACAAAUUCUAGUCAUGCACUUUCUAUACAUUUUGUGUAUCUUCAAUUUUAUUUAUGAGUGAAAUGAGUAAUAUUCUUUCAAAAUUACAUGGUCAUCUCAUAAUAAUAUAGUUUCUCUGUCUUUUCUUUUUCCACAAAUGAAGGUUAUCAUGUUAGGUUAGCUUCUUGCGUCUCGCUGCCUGCUGUUCAGUUGGUCUCGGGGAUCAGCUAUCCUUCUUGGCUAUCUUUGCCAUUUUUCAUUUGCAGCUGUGUUGGUCUUGUUGAUUGGUCUCUAACAAGCAACUUUUUAGGUCUGUUCAGGUAUUUCAUCCUUUCAUAGUUACAGAUGUCAUCUUCUUUUAUAAAGAUAAUUGGAUAAAUUAAAGAACCUUGUCGCAUCAGAGCUUAUGUUCUUAUACUUGACUUGUAGGUGGUGGAAGCUGCUCUGGUCAUAUGCUGGUUUCGUCAUUAGCCUGCUUUAUAUUUAUCAGCUCCCUGUUGGGUUUCCAAAAAUGUUUGAAGUGAUUGCUGACUCGAUUGGUCUGUACAAAAUUUCUCUGGAUUCCGACUGGCAACAAAUAUGUUCUGGUACUUCCCUGAUGGUCUUCUAUUAUAUGGUAUGCUUUUGUCGUCUAAGUUAUCAACUCGACCAAAUUUGCCAUUUUGCUUAUGAUCAACAUAUCAGGGUCUGAUCUUUCAUUUAUGCAUUUCAUGUCAUUUUAACGCAUAUAAAUCCUAAGCGAAUAGUCUUGGAUCAAUAAUGUGCCUAACAUUUACUUUAAAAACUUAAAAUCCCUGACAUGAAAUCAUACCUCAAAGCUAAGCAUUUUUUAUGGGGUUCCAUAUGUUACACUAAGUAGAGGAGACAGUUUUUAUAUUUGAAUAUUUUUUGCUAUUGACUCGAUUGGUAUCUACCUUGGAGAAAAUGUCUCCGAUAGUGUAGUAUGACCUUUAGCAUGAAGACACAAUAAAUCUAUUUGGACUUUUUCUUCCAAUCUUGCCUAAACUCAACAUGAAUCGCGUAGCAAUUACUUACAGUUUCUGCUGCAAAUCAUAAAGAAGGCAAUGAUCCUUCUACUUGCAGAAGUAGUGACUGAUUGAUAUCUGUGCAGCUUUCUUGUGUGAAGCAUGAUUUAGAAGACAUGGAAUUCAUUAUGUCCAUGGGAGAAGGCAGCUUGACAGAACAACUUCUUCCCUCAAGAAAUUCUUUUUUUGUUCGUCAGCUAAGGUGCGCUGAUUAUGAGAAGUUAUCUACUGAUUGCUUCUUCUGAUGGAAAUCUCUAGUGCUAGACAUUUGAGCAACGGACUUGUUGUCUAUCUGCUCCAUCAGGGAAGCAAGCACAGCUCUUAUUCAUCUGAAUAUUAAUUAUCUGUUUUCUUGUCCGCAGGUCUGGUGUAAGGCAUACCAAUAUAUUAUUAAGGGGACCGAUUUUCAGGAUUUUUAGCAUCAACUGGUUUACUUAUGGCUACCCUGUACGUGUUGUAAAACAUGAUAAAUAAUCCUUUGAGGAUAGAACCAAAUAUCCCAAAUGUUAGUGGUCAUAUGUAUUUUCCUUGCUUAUAUAAUGAAGUUUCAGAUGUGAAUAUGGCAGAUAUCCUUGUUCGCUCUUUCAUAUUGGAGCUUCCACUUUGCAAGUAUCUGUGCAUUUGGAUUACUUGCAUAUGUUGGGUAUGUUAUGUAUGCUUUUCCGUCCGUGUUCCAUCUUCACCAUUUGAAUGGUCUGCUUCUUGUCUUCAUUCUCUUGUGGGCUGUGAGCACGUAUAUUUUCAAUGUGGCUUUUGCAUACGUGAACUGGAAACUUGGCAAGGUACUUUCUUGUAUUCUAGAUCUUCAAUUGGAGUUUGGAAGCUAUGGUUGUAAGCCAUUCAUGGAAGUUGUCAUAUAUCUUAAUCAGGAUAUGGAGAUCUGGGAGAUGGUUGGGUUGUGGCACUAUCCAAUACCCGGCUUCUUCCUUUUAGCACAGUUUUGUCUUGGGGUUCUUGUAGCUCUUGGUAAUCUAGUAAGCAAUUCCGUAUUUCUAUGCCUAUCAAAUGAGGAAGGGCGAUUCUCUACUGAGAGUGAGACUGAGGAAGGUAGACCUGCUUAUUCUGCCGUCAUCUUCAGAAAUUCCAAAAUAAUUUACAUCUGUUUCCUAUGUAAUUUCAGUGAAAGAAGGCGCAAAAGUAUUAGUAGUGGCUACAAUUGCUUGGGUGAUGCGCAAAUCUUCUCGGCCAAUAAUGCUGCUGCUGAUUUUCCUAAUCGCCACCAAACCUGGUUUCAUUCAUGCAGUUUAUAGUAUGUGCAAUUCUGACAGAUGAAUUUCGUAUUUCGUUUUUAACCUAAUAAAAUAGUGAAACCUUGCUUAAUAUUCUGAUUAGUUUCUUAUCUUUCUCUGUUUUCAGUGAUGUUCUUUGUUGGCUAUCUUUUGAGCCAUAGAAUUGAUAAAAGGAUGCGCCAAUCCCUUAUUCUUUUGUGUGAGGCUCAUUUUGCGAUUUUAUACAUUCUUCAGCUAAAUCUGGUCUCCACUAAACUGGAACAGAAAGGCUCCAUAAGUUUGGAAGUGCUAUCACAGCUAGGUUUGGAAUUCCUUCGGAUAAUUACUUUAUUUUUCUAUUUUCUUUCACGGAUCUUAUUUUUGUAUCUAUGCUGCACUUCUAGGUCUUGUUGAAAGCAACAGUCCCUGGAAUCUUCUGGAGAUAGCUCUGCUUGCAUGCUUUUGUGCCAUUCAUAACCAUGGAUUUGAUAUGUUGUUCUCGUUUUCUGCUAUUGUUCAGCACACGCCUUGUCUUCCUAUCGGAUUUAGCAUCCUGAAAGCCGGUUUAAACAAAUCGGUUCUUUUGACAGUUUAUACCAAUUCCGAUAUCAGAGACAGUUACGGGAGUCAUGACCACGGUACUAUACCCUUAUCCAAGGUUAAUUGUUGACAUUUCCCAUUUAGUUUUCGUAUUCGUGAAACUAUACCUAGAUUUUUAGCAUUUACAGAAAAUAUGCUUACCGAUAGGAGCUUAGAGACGUCAAGAUCAUAUUUAUGGUUGCUUUUCAAGUCUAUUGUGAAUAAUCUUAUCCAUUUGCUGAUUUCUGUCUUUCAGAGAGAAAGGUGGCGUUGUAUCUCAGUGCUAUCGGAAGGAAGUUCUUGUCCGUAUACAGAUCAUUUGGAACCUACAUUGCCUUUCUCACCAUCCUUAUAGCCGUGCACCUCGUGAGGCCAAAUUACAUAUCAUUCGGUUAUAUCUUCCUUCUCCUUAUCUGGAUCACGGGCAGACAGCUCGUGGAGCAGACAAAACGACGCCUCUGGUUUCCCCUCAAAAUAUAUGCUAUUGCAGUUUUUAUUUUCAUCUACUUGCUAGGCAUCUUCCCCACUUUUGAAUCAUGGAUGUCGACAAAGAUUGAUCUCUCUGUUUGCUUCGGUUACGAUACAGAAGCUUCUCUGUUAGACAAUCUUCAGGAGUCUCUGGCAAUUAUGAUCGUCAUGCAGCUUUACAGCUACGAAAGAAGAAAAAGCAAACACAUGAAAUCGGAAGAUCCUGCUCCGCUGCAGCCUGGGAUAUUGGGGUUCGUCAAACGGUUUCUGAUCUGGCACAGUCAGAAGAUAUUGUUCGUCACACUCUUUUAUUCAUCGAUAUCUCCGAUAAGUGCAUCCGGCUUUGUUUACCUUCUCGGUCUAGUUCUCUGCUCGGCAAUGCCUAAAGAGUCGAGAAUCCCAUCGAAAUCAUUCUUAGCUUACACAGGGUUAUUGGUGACGGUUGAGUAUAUAUUUCAGAUAUGGGGUAAACAAGCUAAUAUGUUUCCCGGGCAAAAGCACCACAAUUUGUCUGUUUUCCUCGGCUUAAUGGUUUAUGAACCGAAUUUUCAGGGCCUACAAGAAGGUUUGAGGGCGAAAGUGCUUGUGAUUGCUGCGUGUACGCUUCAGUAUAAUGUUUUCCAUUGGCUGGAAAGGAUGCCCAGUUUGCAUUUGUAUGUAGGUCAAUCAGAGGAGCCUUGCCCUUUGUUUGUUUCAGCAAGAGACGAUUUCACUGCCGUUUCAUCUUUGAAUGGGGAGAGCCAGCCCAUACCCGAGAGUGAGCUGUCCGAACAAAGGGCCGGGGAGGGCUAUUCAUGGUCGUCUCCUAGGCGUUGUGUCGAUAAUCAUUCUCCAAAUUUUUCUACCCUCAGAAGCACUCUCAGUGGCAGCUAUAGAAAAUAUUCACUUGAUCAAAUCUGGGAUACCAUUACAGAGAACCAUAAUUGGAAAAAGAAAAGGAUUGUUGCCUUGAGACAGGAGAGAUUCGAUAUGCAGAAGACAACACUGAAAGUUUAUUUGAAGUUUUGGAUUGAGAAUAUGUUCAACCUUUUUGGUCUCGAGAUCAAUAUGAUAGCGCUGCUACUCGCCAGUUUCGCUCUGUUAAACUCCAUAUCUAUGCUCUAUAUCGCGUGUAUUGCUAUCUGCAUUUUGUUGCCGCGUCCCACCAUUAGCAAGCUGUGGCCUAUAUUCGUUCUUCUCUCUGCCACCAUUCUUCUAGCAGAAUACUUGGCGAUGUGGAAGAACAUGGUGCCGUUUAGUGCACGUGUUUUGACCGAGAGCAGUGCACGUUGCCACGAUUGUUGGAAAAACUCACGCGUAUACUUCCACUACUGUGAAAAAUGUUGGCUGGGUAUGCACAUGUCUUAUUCUGUUAAUUUCUGCUGAUCAUGAAAUUUUAACAUGAUCAUGUUAAAUAAUUGCAUUAUCUUUGGCAGGGGUUAUUGUUGAUGAUCCUCGGAUGUUGAUCAGUUAUUUCGCUGUCUUCAUGCUGACGUGUUUCAAACUCCGGUCAGAUCAUUCGUUCAACUUCUCAUGGUCAUUCACGUACGAGCAGAUGGUUGCUCAGCGUAAGAAUGCUUUCGUUUGGCGAGACCUGUCGUUUGAGACCAAGAACAUGUGGACGUUCUUCGAUUAUCUGAGGGUUUACUGUUAUUGUCAUCUGUUGGAUCUAGUGCUUGCGUUGAUGUUGAUAACGGGAACCUUGGAAUACGACAUUCUACACCUCGGAUAUCUCGGAUUCGCUCUCAUUUUCUUCCGCAUGAGGCUCACUAUACUGAAAAAGAAAAACAAGAUCUUUAAAUUCCUGCGGGUUUACAAUUUCACUGUGAUUUUCCUCUCUCUGGCAUAUCAAUCUCCAUUUAUCGGUGGUUUCAAGUCGGGAAAGUGUCAAACCGUUGAUUAUGUGUAUGAGGUGAUAGGAUUUUACAAAUAUGAUUACGGUUUUCGGAUCACCUCGAGAUCUGUUUUGGUAGAGAUCAUCAUUUUCAUCCUCGUCUCAUGCCAAUCAUACAUGUUUUCUUCCUCGGAGUUUGAUUAUGUGUUCCGAUAUCUUGAGGCGGAGCAAAUUGGCGCGAUUGUGAGGGAGCAAGAGAAGAAGGCUGCUUGGAAGAACGAGCAGCUGCAACACAUCCGCAAAGCUGAGGAAAACAAACGCCAUCGCAACUUCCAAGUGGAGAAGAUGAAGUCCGAGAUGCUGAACCUACAGAUCCAACUCCACGGUAUGAAUCCCAUCACUGCUCGUGGCAGUGUCUCACCGGGUAGCGAAGUGGUGAAAAGGCGGAAAACUGCUUCCCUCAAUGUGCAUGACUUUGUUAAUCUUGAGAAACAGAACGCCAGUGCCGUUCCUGAUCCAGGCUUCCCGCUAAACGUGCAUGAAUCUACCAGGACUGUUCGAGUGGACAAUCCGUUAUCUGUAGACAUUUCAAAGAGCUUACUCGAUGCUUCUCUUGGUGAGACUACUGAGGCGGAGGAGUACACAGGCGACAACAUUCUUUACAGUUUAGACAGCUCGAGAAGAGGUAGAAACCAAUCCAUGGAAAACCCUCUGGCUUCUGCUGUGCAGUUAUUAGGCGAUGGUGUUUGCCAAGUGCAGUCAAUUGGAAAUCAAGCAGUCAGCAAUCUCAUAACCUUUUUGAACAUUUCGUCAGAAGAUCUAAGUGAAUCCUCAUACAUUGAAGAGAGACGAACACACGAUGCUAAACGCAGAAACUCGAGCUGUUCUUCAUCUAUGCAGUCUGAGAAGAGCAGAACUUCAGAGUCUGCAAGUCUGCAGAUUGGACUGAUUGUCUCUCAUAUAUGGUCGCGCAUGCAAUCUAAUAACGACGUUGUUUGUUACUGCUGUUUCAUUCUGGUUUUCCUUUGGAACUUCAGUCUGCUUUCCAUGGUAUACUUGGCUGGAUUGUUCCUAUAUGCUCUGUGUGUGAACACCGGGCCGAACUACAUGUUCUGGAUUAUCAUGCUAAUCUAUACCGAAUUCUACAUUCUGAUUCAGUAUCUGUAUCAGAUAAUGAUCCAGCAUUGUGGUUUCACCAUCCAGUCAGACCACCUACAUGAAUGGGGUUUCCCGACGAAGAAGAUAAAAUCAUCGUUUGUUAUCAGUUUGCUGCCUCUAUUUUUGGUGUAUCUGUUUACUCUCAUACAGUGCUCCAUAACAGCAAAAGAUGGUGAGUGGUUUUCGGUAGGAUUCAAGAAUUCCAGAGGGGGAUUACGCAACCAAAACGACAUUGAUUUCAGUUCCGACUGGAGUGAUAAAUUAGAUAAGGCUUUCGAAUCUAUAAAACAUGUGGUUGAAAUGGUCAUCGGUGGCUGUUCCAAAUACUGGAAAUCUUUGACGCAAGAAGCAGAAUCUCCUCCGUACUUCGUUCAGCUCUCUAUGGACGUCAAAUCAUGGCCUAAGGAUGGGAUUCAACCAGAGAGGAUCGAGUCUGGAAUAAAUCAGCUGCUACAGCUCGUGCAUGAGGAAUACUGUAAAAGUGAGAAGCCUAGUAAUUGCCUUUGUGCCAGCAAGGUUCAGAUUCAAAGCAUUGAAAAAAGCACUGAAGAUACCAACGUGACAUUAGCCGUUUUUGAGGUGGUCUACGCCUCACCACUUACUGAAUGUAAACCAGCAGAGCAGUUCAACUCUCUUACUCCAGCAGCCGAUGUAGCAAAGCAGAUCCUUAAAGCAAAACGCAUGGGGCUUGCUGAGAAAGUUGGCUUCCCGUAUCCUAUGAUCUCAGUUAUCGGAGGUGGUAAAAGAGAAGUUGAUCUUUAUGCAUACAUCUUCGGGGCUGAUCUGAUGGUCUUCUUUCUUGUUGCCAUGUUCUAUCAAUCUGUUAUAAAAAAUAAAAGUGAAAUUCUAGAGUAUUAUCAACUCGAAGAUCAGUUCCCAAAAGAGUUUGUAUUUAUUCUAAUGGUAAGCAAUGCCUUCUUCUGUCCUUUUUAUGUCUUUGUUUGGUUCCUCAAUGGCUUUGGUUCCUCUCGUCUCGUGCAGGUAAUCUUUUUCUUGAUUGUUGUUGAUCGCGUCAUAUACUUGUGUUCGUUUGCAACGGGGAAAGUCAUCUUCUACCUUUUCAACUUUAUUCUCUCCACGCGUUCAGUCUCUGAGUAUGCUUGGAAUAUAGACACUUCCCAGCAUAAUGCUGCUGGUUUUGCCCUUCGAGCAAUCUACCUUACAAAGGCAAUAUCUCUGGCAUUACAAGCUAUGCAAAUUCGAGAUGGUGUUCCUUAUAAAAGCACAUUGUAUCGCCAGUUCCUCACUAGUGAAGUUUCUCAUGUCAAUUAUCUAGGAUACAGGCUGUAUCGCGCUUUGCCUUUCCUGUAUGAACUGAGAUGCGUCCUAGAUUGGUCGUGCACGACUACAUCAUUGACAAUGUAUGACUGGUUGAAGGUGAGUUCUUCUAGCAUCUAUAUUUGUCUAUAGGGAAAAGUCUAUAGAAACUGAAAUUUUAUAUCGUUUUCAGUUGGAGGAUAUUAAUGCGAGUUUAUACCUUGUCAAGUGCGACAAUGUUCUAAACAGAGCUAACCAUAAACAAGGAGAGAAACAGACACAGAUGACGAAGUUUUGCAAUGGCAUCUGUUUGUUCUUGAUAUUAAUAUGCGUCAUUUGGGCUCCAAUGCUGGUAAGUAAUUCUUGGCUGUCUGCUGCUUCAGCAUAAAAGUACAGUUCUUCUGAAAAAGACGUAAAACAGGUUGUUAAGGAAAGGGACAUCCAAUCCAUACUUCUAGCAACAGUGCUUUGCUGGUGUCCUAAUCAAUGAUCAAAUGCUUUUUUUCUUUCUUUCAAGAAUUUAGUUUUUUUGGGUCAUCAAAGCCUACUAUUUCACAUUUAAAGACUCGUGUAAAAAAGAAUGCAUGGAGGGGUUAGAGAACUCUUUUGCUUCUUGUGUUGAAUCUAACAUUCAAUAACUAUUAUGCUUUAGGAAAUUUAUCUUGUGCUCUUCAAAAUCUUUGCUAUUUUAGUUCUGGACUUGUUUGACAAAUUUGGAACAUCAAAGAGUGUUUUGUAAAAUGAUAGUUUCGAGUCAAGAAGCAGUUUGUUGCUAUAUUUGAAUGCAUGUGCAUUCUUUUCAGUAUUGGAUUGCUUAAAAAUGUGAAUUUUUCUUAAAUGUAGAAUAGCUUACUCAGAAAGUUCUCUUGAAUCAGAAGAGAUUUCUUUUGCUAAUAACAGAAGUUCGUCGUUGUCUUAUAGAUGUACAGCAGUGGUAAUCCAACAAACAUAGCGAAUCCAAUCAACGAUGCCAGUUUCCAGUUCGACAUCAAGACAGCUGCUGGAAGACUGACCUUGUACCAGACAACUCUUUGUGAGAGACUAGGAUGGGAUGAGCUCAACAAAAAUGCCAAUUUUGAUCCCCAGCAUUACUUGGACUCUUACAAUCAAAACGACAUUCAGUUCAUUUGUUGCAAAGGUGAUGCGAGCACACUGUGGCACGUCCCUGAAGUCGUCCAGAGGCAGUUUAUCCGGUCUCUCAAUAGUAGCGACAUGGACAUGAAGUUUUCUUGGGUUCUUGCAAGGGACCGGCCAAAGGGCAAGGAAAAAGUGAAAUACGAAAGAAGUCUCGACCCAUCCGACCUUCCAAAACCGUCAGAUGUCGAGGGGGUCUUCAAUGGCUCCUUGAACAGCUUCAGGAUUUCCAAAAUUUAUCCGAGAUUUUUUAGGGUCACGGGCUCUGGAGAAGUCAGGCCUUUCGAGCAGGAGGUAUGCUUCCGAGUUUUGGUUUAUACUGUUUGAUGCAGAUAAGUUUUCUUGAAAGAUAUUCCGACUUUUGAAGCUAACUGAUGAUGUAUAUCAACAGGUGAGCGAUGUUACUGCAGACCUCGUCUUGCACCAUGGUAGCUCCCAAUGGUGGUCCUUCCAUGACGUCAACUCUUUGGACGCGUAUGGUUGCGGGAGCUUGUCGGGGCCAAUGGCUGUCGUUGUAUCGGAGGAAACCCCACGUAAGUACUCAACUUCCUACAAUGUAGAAACACUGUCCAAACAAACACCUUUUCUUGAUGCUUGUGUUAUAAAAACCAUAAACUUUCAGAGGGAAUUCUUGGUGAGACUCUGAGCAAAUUCAGCAUUUGGGGUCUCUACAUCACAUUUGUGCUAGCAGUGGGCCGCUUCAUCCGGUUACAAUGCUCGGACCUACGAAUGAGAAUACCCUUCGAGAACCUUCCUUCAUGCGACAGGUAAUAUAGUUACUAUACACGUAGAGAGGAAACUUUUUGAUCUAUAAAAAGAAUGUUUUGCUUGGCUCGUGCAGGCUAAUAGCCAUCUGUGAGGAUAUAUAUGCUGCAAGAGCAGAGGGCGAGCUUGGAGUCGAGGAGGUUCUGUAUUGGACACUCGUGAAGAUUUACAGGUCACCUCAUAUGUUGCUCGAGUAUACCAAGCCCGACUAGCGUCCUGCAGAUUAACGGCCCUUGUAUACACGCUGACAAAAUCUGACGAUAGGAUCGACUAACUUCCAGCUGAAGAUGCACAGGCUGAGCUCAAGUCCAGUUUCCAUUGCCAGUGUAGGUUUGUGAAGGCUUCUCGCUUAUGUCUUUUACUGCCAAAUAUGAGUCAUUUGCAUGCAGCCUUAUACAUCUCUUUCGUGUAAAAAGUGGCACAUCUGUGACAGAUAUCAUAUAAUGAGAUGCCCAUCAAAUAAAAUGAGAUCCUAAGGAAUCCAGGUUUAUAUGUAUAUUUUCUUUCAUAUUCUUUUUGCAUCUUUGCUUGUUAGUUUGUUGUUUUAAUCAAUCAAAUCGAGUCAAAAUUUGAGUAGCUUACCAGUUGAGUUUAAUUGACCAUGUAAAUUUUGUUCAGCAUUUGCAACCCACCGGAAUUUGCAGAGCUUUGAUACAUGAGUUGUAUCAUGUAAUCCAACAUUUUAUUGCAAAUGGCCAUCAGUUCAUAAUAUUGGGAGAUUGUUUAAGAAAUAAUCAAAAUUAUAAAAUCUUACACUUGCAUAAGUAUUUCGAGAGCGCAUUAUGUCAAAAAACAAAUUUAUACAUAGUCAAGGUCACUUAUAACAAGAAGAUACAAUAUUUGAAGCUAGUUCCAUUAUAAUAUUGUAACACUGUUAACAUUUGAAAAUCAAGGCUCAAAAUUUUGAUUAAGCUAAGUGCCAUGGAUCAACUUCCUCAAUCAAUGGUGACCUACUGUUUAUUGUUCUAAUCAAGAAUCUGGGAGAAAGAACUCGAGUUGAGAAUUUAAUUUCGCACAUGGAUCAAUUCUCUCUCAAACUAUGAACAAAGAAACUUGAUCCUAAAAGCAAACCACUGCAAAAAGAAAACAAAAUUGCAGCUUAACCAGAAAAAAGAAGUGCGUUGAUGUCAACCUAGGUUUCCUUGUUAAAUCGUACCUCAUCUCCUACAUCAGCUAGAACAUAUUCCUACAUAAUCUUUGGCCCUGUGAAACUGAAAUCAGCGAGUGAAACAUCAUUUUUGAACUUGGGAAACUUAUCCAAGAACUUGAGAACAUCAGUUGAGGCCCUCAAUCUCUUGCCGUUGGCGGCGUCAUAAUAGCAGUCCAUUUUGGAGAAAUCCUUCCGCAUUACCAACCUCCUCUUGAAUCCCGAAGGAGUUUUUGGAAUGCCGGGCUUGUGAAUGACCCAAGUCCGGGUGUCAUCACGCUCUAUAUCAGCUGGAUCAUCGCAGGAAACGCCAGGUUUCUUGCUGCAAACAAAAGGGUCUUUUGUGAAUUUGCUUCUGAUUUCUUCAAACUCUUCCUCAGUAGGAAUCAGCCUCCACUUGAAACAUUCCCCGCACUGCACACUCCAUAUGUCAACCAAAGUGAUACCGUUUGUUGAUUGCUGUCCCAACAAAACAUCAUCAACUCAAAGAAACAGGACUUUAGAAAAUUAAGAAAUCUGCAUAUGAUCAGAUAACAUGAGAUUGAAUUACAACCAAAAAAAGAUAGAUGAAAAAGAGACUCAACUAAGGGCAAAAAGUCUUAUGAAUUAUGAUCCCUUAAACUCAACAAACGAGUUAACAAAUUUUUUAGAGUAACAAGUAACAACCAUUUUUACUACAAUUAGCUAGCUCGAGGGCCAACGGAUAUUUGCAGAGGUCAGCCUGGUACUCCUCAUAGUUUGUUCAUGGUCCAUGCCGAAACCAUUGGAUCACAAGUUAGACCACCAAAACCCACUUGAAGUUCAAGCUUCAUAACUAGAUCACACAGGCUACUGAUUCAUACAUAGUAUACAGAAAAUUUAGCAUCCGAAUCUUGUAUAGGCAAGGUUCCACCACACUUGCUCCCUCUACAGAUUUUCUGCCCGAUAACUCCAGUCUUCCCAAUCAAAUGGCAGGUAGCCUCAAGCUCAGAUUCACCUCCUAAUACGUAGUAUGUUCCCCUCCACAUGCCGGGCAUCCGAGUAACGUGCAUUCCUACAUAAUGAUGUAAGAAUGUACAAUGCUCAGAUGCUGAGGGUGUGGAAAGGCAGUCCUGAGGCGUAUCCGAGCUCGGACCCGCUGUCUAAUCACACCGCCUGAAGACUGGAGUGAGCCAGCAAAGAAUCCCUACUAUGUAACAACUUUUCUCAUACGGGAUUGAGGCGUUACAAAAUGCAUUGGGUUGAUAGAUUUCAAAAUAAAUAAGCCACUGCCAGACAGCCAGAAGUUUAUGAAAAUUGAAACAAGAAUUCUUCGAAACUGACAAAACAGAGUACCCAUUUUCUCAAACAAGUAAAAACGAAUUGAAAACGGGAAAAAGAACUACAUGAAGGGAGGAAAACGCCUCUCACUCUCUCUCACACACACACCCAAGACAUCAGCCAACAAUUUCAGGAAAUAAAAGAACCAAGUAUUGCUAGCAUUUAAUCAAUUAUGUAGUUCUGCAGAGGAACAUGUUAUUGGGAUUUCUUUCACAACAAAAAUCGACCAAAAAAAAAUACCGAUCAAGAAAAAACAAGAAUGAAAAAUCAGACAAAAAGAUCAAACUGCAUGCAGGCAUAGAUUCGAGUUAAAUGGGGGUGGGGGGGAAGCAGUACCCUUUUAGAUUGUUGGCUCUUCUUCUCCAUAUCAGCGGCUUCAAAUUUCCCUGCUGCAGGCGGAGUCGCCUGAAGAGUAAAGACUUCUUAUAUACCUCGUUAUUUAUUUACUUUCAUAAAUUUGGAGGGUUAUUAGAGCCUAAUUAGCCAAAAUUUGGAGGUAGUUUGAUUUGUACAUGAAUUUUAAAAGGAGUUAGAAAAAUAUACAAUUUUUUAAUGUUAUAGUAAUUUUAUCGCAAAUUCAAAUUAUAGAUAUUUGAAUUUUAUAAAAAAAAUUUAUGAUUUACAAAUUUAGAGAUGUCUUAUACGAUAUAUUUUAGAGAUGUCUUAUACAAUGUCAUUUUUUAAAAUGUCUGAUGAGAACACGUCGAUAUUUUGACUUGUCACGUCAACUUUAAUUUGAGCAUAAAUUAAAUUUGUGGCAAAAUUACUACAAUAUUAAAAUUCAUGUACUUUUUACAAUUUUCAAAGUUCAUGGCAAAACUAAAUUACUCUCAAAGAUGGUGUAUUUAGGCGUUAAUAACCCUUAAAUUAAUAUCCCAAUAUUGAAAGUCCAAUAUAAUACUCUUCCCCUCCAACUAAACAUGACUCACUUCUUUUCGACACAAAAAUUAGGGAGAAAUUGUAAAUUGAAUAAAAAUGGAAGAGCACACAAGAGCAUCUCCAAUAGGGACUCUAUAAGAUGAUCCCCACCUUAGAGCCCCCUCUACAAUGCAUUGACUCUAUAAAAGUAUCCACAACUCCAACCCCUUAGCGUCGGAUCAAGCCGGCAGGGGUGGAGGCAUGCCGCGCUGGAGCGCCUCAUUGGCUUGUGCUGGGCGCUUCUGCUAGUGCAGGGCACGGAGGGCAAAAUUGUGGAGCACGUGUUGAGAAAUAAAAAUGAUUUAUUUAAAAUAAAAUAAAAAACGACCGUUUGAGCAAUUUUUUUUUAAUACCGUUGGGAGGCAACAACUCUUUCUUGCUUUUUAAUUUCUUUUUUCCCCUUCCCUUUCUCUAUAUAUACUGCAUCUUUUCCACACAAAUUUUCACAUCCAACACGAUUCUAUCUUCACAUCUCAAUUUAUUCUCUCAAUUUUUAUUUCAAAGUUUUUCUUAGUUAUUUAAGUUAUUGUAAUUUUUAUUUUAAUUAAUGUAAUGUUGAAUUUUAAAAUAGAAGAGUCAAAAGUGAAAAUGAGAUUAAAUGGAAAUAGAGAUUAUAGUGUUUCUUAUAGAGCCAAUGCACUGGAGAGGAGAGGCGCGCCUCUCCUUAGCGCCUCCCAGUGUGGAUGUUCUAAGGGCCUCUAUAAUCCUCAUUUCUAUUUUAUCAAAAGUUUACUCUUUAAUUUUAAAAUUAAACAUUUAAUUAAAAUAUAAAUUUAAAUAUUACAUUAAUUAAAAUAAAGUACAAUAAAAAAAUAUUACAAUAACUAAAAAUUAAGACCUUUUAAUGGAUCCUUGUUUUGCAUAAAUAAUAUAUAUAUAUAUAUAUAUAUAUAUAUAUAGUAGGUNAAUGGUGUUGUUUGGACCUGCGACAUCUCCAGUAUCAUCUAUUUUCCCCUUAUUUUCGUCGAUUUCUAGACAUUUUCAUCGAUUUCAAUGUUUGGCGGGGAGUUAUGCGACUUUGAGAUUUUAUUGGGUUUUUGGUGUUAGUGGAUGGAUAGGUGAAUUUGUUUUAGCUGUAAGCUCGUAAGUUAGUGGAUGAUCGGUGAAUUGUCUUUCUAGUUUGAUGAAUUUUAAAUUUUUUCUUUUUUUCUACAAAUAGUUAUUGGGUAAUCCAUAUGUUGUGAAUUAAUUCAUAUAAUUUGUUGGUUUAUUCGAUAUGACUUCAACUGAUAUUAUGCUAGUUAAUAAUCGAAAAAUUUUCGUCAUACCGUAUACCAUACCGUAAAUUGCGGUAUGAGAAUUUCCAUACCAUUGUCGUACCGUACUUUUCGGUAUACCGAAGAUCGGCAUACCGAAAAUUUCGGUAUGAGAAUUUUCAUACCGUUAUCGUACCGAUAGUGCGGUAUACCAUACCUUACGGUAUUACCGAAAUUAUUGUUAUAUCGUUUCAUGCCUAAAUUGCCAAACCAUUAAGAUAUACCGUAUAUUUGUACAUAUUGAAAUUUCAUUAAACAAAUACAAAUAACUUUCUAACAAUUAAACUCCACAUCUUCAACAAAGAAAAAAAUAAUUUAACCAUAAUAAUAUAUAUAUAUAUAUAUAUAUAUAUAUAUAUAAAAGACCUCUUCUUUUUAUAUUCUUUUUUUAGAAUAAGACCUCUUAUUUAAAUACAUAGUACCUUUUUAGUUUAAUUUUGAAUCUAACAGUUGCAGUUUUAUAUGUAGAACACAAUUUUUUUAUUAAUAAAUUAUAUAAAUAAAUUAAUUAAUUAAAAAAUCACACUACGAGGAGAAGACACUUAGAACCUUAAGCUUUAAACAUUAACCAGUUAUUGUUAAUAUGUUAUAGCACACGCACAAUUCUUGUUCUCUAAUUGCAAAUUUGCAAUGCUCCGUCAUAAUGUGAUGGUAACACUUUUUAUCAUACGUGGCAAAAGUAUGUGCUUGUAUUCGUGAAAUGGGCCGGUUUCACUACAACAAUCUAAUGAGGCCAAAUAUUAAUAGGCUUAAUUCAACAUCAAUGCAUGAUGGGCUGGGCCUGUCGAACAAAUUGAACUUGCAAAUCUAUAUAAUAUAAUAAAAGAUGAGUUAAUGUAAAUCUCUUUCCACCAAAAUUUUUCUCUCCUCAUUUUAUUUUUUUUUAUUUUGAUUCUCUUUCAAAAAUCAUAAACUUUAUUUUAUAAAAAAAUAUUCAUUAUGAAUUUUAAAUUAAAGAUGAUGACAAGAUCUUUAAUUUGAUGUAAAAAUUAUAAAAAAUAAAUUUAAAAUAAAUAAAUUAUUAUCGUUUAAAGUCAUAAAAUUAUGUCACCAAAGGGACACCAAGCGGUGCAACCUCCUGUGUGAACAGUGAGGUCCCGAGUUCAAAUCUCACUGCUUCCCCUCCCCAACUCCCCCAAGUCAAAAAAAAAAAGUCAUAAAAUUAUUCUUUUUUCUCUCUCCUCUCCCAUUUAUCAUCUUCUCUCUCAUAUCUUCUUUCUUUAAAUGUCAUGAUUCUUCAUUUUUCUUUUCUAUUUCAUUCCUUUUUUUAUUUUAUUUUUUUGUUAGAAAUUAUUUUCAAUAUUUUCUAUUUAUAUUUUUUCUGUUAUAAAAAUUUAAGGCAACUAAAAAGAUUAAACUUAUAUUUGUUCAUUUUUAUCAAUCAUAAAUAAUUAAUUCGUAGUUCAAAAAUUGAAUAUUCAAAUGUUUUCAGAUUCAUGUGUUUAUUGAGAUUAUGUUGUUCAUAACUUUGAUUUUUUUUAUUGAGAUUUAUGUUUGUAUUUGUUUAUAUAUAAAUUAUAUUUAAUAUAUGUAUAUAUUUAUUCAAAAGAUCAUUCAAUUUCAAUAUUGGUCGUGCAUCGCACGAGCGGACAUACUAGUGUCAUUUAAUUGCGACUUGGUGGAAAAAUUAAAUUUAAACAGGUAUGUGAAUUUAAUUUAAUUUAAUUUAAUUUUAUUAGGCGAAAGGUGUAUAAUAUCGAAAAGUCAAAAAGAAAAAUCCCACUUUUAAAUUAUUUCACUUUGACUAUCUCUAACAAACAUUACUAAAUUGUGUGCUGCUCCAUUAACCACUCGACAAAUAUAUUAGAAACCCAACACAAUAUUCCUUCUAAUAUAAAACUUUUUAAUUGAGUUUGUGAGCGCGCAUAUACAUAUAUUAACUUUUAUUUUUAUUUCGCCAAUGGGACAUAACUUAAAUGAUAAAGUUAGGGCAUUCAAAGUCUCUCCUUUGUGAGAGACAUUGGGUUCAAUUUUGUUUGUAUGCGGUGUAAUUUUCUCAUUUUUGUAUGGAUAAUGAUCUCGCAUGCGUAGGUUAUUUUUCCUUUUUUGUGUGAUGUAGAGAUCCCGCCUACGUGCAAUUGACUUAUUUAAUUAUAUAAUAAAUAUCUCUUAUAAUUCUCGAAAAAAUUAUUUUUAUUUCCUAAAUUUUAUUAGAUAAAGCCUCAAAUAACUAUAAUAAUGUGGUCUCAACAUAGCAAUAUGGAGGAAUAAUUGAUAUGUUAUCGUGGUCCAAUUGUGAUAAUAAUAGGCAUAGUCUACAUCACUAUAAUUAAAUUAUGAAGUGGCUAAUUUAUUAUGAAUAUGGGGAAUUAUGGCCAUCGAAAAAUAUGGGAAUAUUGUUGUGCCCAUCCACGGUCCACCACAUUAAUUAUGCCUUAGUACCAAAUCUAAGGAAUUUAACAUGAGCAUUUAAUUUAUCUCCCCAAAACAAAGAUGAGUAUUUAAUUUGUUGAUGAACAGUAAAAUCGAGGAGUAUUAUAUUUCCUUCUUUUGGGUGCAUUCUUCAAAAUUUUAAAAUUGCUAUGAUGAAAAAUUAUUUUCUAUAAAAAUUUAGUAUUCAAAUGCACCAUAUCAUGAAAUACAUAAUCUUUAAAUUAAUAAUACAUUUCCAAAUAAAUUUACAUUAUAACGAAAUUGCAUGCCCAUGAACGUUAUUUUAUGUCACUCAAAAUAAACGAACAAAAUAAUCAAGAUGUCACAUUCAGGAUACAGUUCAAUCUAAUAUGAUAAUUAGUUCACUCCUCCCUCACACAGCAGUAGUCGGAUAACCUAAUUUUACAUCAUAUAUUGUCAUGAAAUUAAAACAUACUCCACCACUAAUAAUAUUUCAUUUACCAUUAUUUUUCACUUUUUCACCACUCAUAAUACUUUAUUUACCCAUACUUUUCACAUUUUUCAUCUUUUCGUGUUAAAACUCGUACCCAUCGUUCCUAGUAAUUUAUUUGGGAGACGAAUGGAGUAUUUAAUACUCAUUUUCUUUCAACUAGCUUGAAUCAUAUUCCUUUUUUAGUCGCCUCAACUAUCUUUAGUUAUUUCCUUAUAUGGAAAAAAUUAGGAAAAAUAAGGAAUAUUAAUUAUUAAAUUCUACAACUAAUUAGGUUGUGCCCACUUAUUCCACCCUUUUGUCUCUUUCACAUCUAAUCACUUAUUCAUUUUAUUUCCAACACGCUUAAAGCACUGAACAUUAAUUUUUAAUACUCAGCUAAGUGUCACUUAGGUCUUAAGUAGUACUCCCUCCUAUUCUAAUUAUAUGUAGUUUUAUUAGUUUGCAUUGAUUUUAUAUUAUAAGUUAUUUUGGUAUAAUAUACCACAAUUAACCUCAUUUAUUAAGGAUAUAUUAGCUGAUACAAUUCAAUAAUAAGUUGAUCCAUUUUUAUAUCUAUCGUUUUAUUUUCUCAUUUUCUCGUAGGCUGUAUUUAAUUUUAAUUUAAUAAUAAUUAAUUAAAAUUAAAUUAGAUAAUUUAUUUAUUUAUUAAUAUAUGUGUUAAAGCUUAGAAAAACUUAUAAUUUGAAUAGGACGAUGAUGCAUGGAUCAUGGAGUACCAUUUUGUCUUUAAAAAAAGUACUGUAGCACAUUUUGGGCCCACCCAAUUGCAUUUAUUUCCAACUGCAGGUAUAUAUAUUAUUUGUUUAUACGUGGUCUACCUCAUGCUGAUUAGUGAUUGGUGAUUACAAACAUUUUGAUUGAAAUUGGAGCUGACAACUAAAAAUUGCAAUUGGAGCUGACAACUAAAUAUUUGGUUACUGAAUAAAGAACUAGCAUUUUCAUGUUAUGCAAUACACGUGAAAAUAUUUUUCAAUUUUUAUAUUUAUAUAAAAUUAAUACUAAUUCAAUUAUUAUACUUAUAAAUAUAAUAAAAUUUAAUUUUAACUGAAUAUAUUUGAAUUGAAUAUAGAAAAAAUAAAAAAUAAUUCACAAUUAUAAAAUUUGAUAUUAUGAAAAGCAAAAAAAAAGUUAAAAAAAGAAUGCUAAUAACAAAGAAUUAAAAUAGAUUUAUUCAAAAAAGAUAAGAGAAGAGAGAGAAAUUUAUAAAAUUUUAAUAUUUAAAUAAAUUUAAAUUUUAUAGUUUAAAUCAAAUAUUUACAUAAAAUAUAUCAAAUUAAAGUUUUUAUUGUGAUCUUUAAUUUGAUAUGCAUAUUAAAUAUUUUAUAAUUAAUCGAAUUUUACAUUUUUUGGAAAAAAGUAAAACAACAAAUACUAAGUUAAAAGAAAGGAAAAUAAAAAGAAAAAUAGAAUUUAAACAUAAACCUUCAAUUUUAUUAUAACUACAAAAUUACCAUUUAAUUUUGAAAUUGUUUUCAAAUUGGAAAUUGCCUUUUUAUUAUAGUAUAGAUUAGACCCCGCUUCAAAAUAAAAAAUAAAGAUAAAAUAAAAAUAAAAAGACGAAGAAGAAAAAAAGAAAAGAAAAGAAAAAAAUUUAGCCUCUUGUCGACCCGAUUCUCUGUAUGUAUCUAUUGUGGAUCAAAUGUUAUAGUAUCAAAUAUGAGAACUUAAAAUGAAUGAACAUCUCAUUUUAGAGCAUCCGCAUUGGGACCUCCUUGAUAGCCUACUUGAUAGUGUUUGUGUUAUUGAGUAGGUAGUGCUGCAUUGGGGUUCCUUGAUAGCCUCCUUGAUAAUAUUAGUUUUGAUUUUAUGUUUUUCAUUUAAACUAGUAUUUGUAUCCCGUGCAAUGCACAGAAAAAUAUUUUUUAUUUUAUAUAUUUAUAUAAAAAUUAAUACUAAUUCAAUUAUCAUACUCAUAAAUAUAAUAAAAAUUAAUUUUAAUUAAAUAUAUUUGAAUUGAAUAUUAAUAAUAAAAAAAUAAAAAAAUAAAAAAUAAUGUACAAUUAUAAAAUUUGAUAUUAUGAAAAGCAAAAAAAAAAGUUUAAAGAAUAAAAAAUAAUUUAAAAUACAUUUUUUUUUCAAAAAGAUGAGAGAGGAGAGAGAAAUUUAUAAAAUUUUAAUAUUUAAACAAAUUUAAUUUGUACAUUUUAACUCAAAUAUUUGUAUAAAAUAUAUCAAAUUAAAGCUCUUAUUGUGAUCUUUAAUUUGAUAUGCAUGUUAAAUAUUUUAUAAUUAAUCGAAUUUCACAAUUUUGGAAAUAAAUAAAACAACAAAUAAGAAGUUAAAGAAUUGGAAAAUAAAAAGAAAAAUAUAGUUUAAACAUAAACGUUCAAUUUUAUUAUAACUACAAAAUUGCCACUCAAUUUUGAAAUUGAUUUGAAAUUGAUUUCAAAUUGGAAACUGCUUUUUUAAUAUAGUAUAGAUUUUAUUGCAUAAUUUAAAUUGCAUAUUUAAAUACUGGAUUAAACAUAAAAUUUAAAAAACCUAUUUAAAACAUAAAAAAAUACAUAAAAAUUUAAAAAACCUAUUUAAAACAUAAAAAAAAUACAUAAAAAAUUAAAAAACCUAAAACAUCAUUAAAAUCACAUAAUUAAAAGCCUAGGAUAGACCACGACGCCUGAGCACGUCGGCGACCAUGGACGCGUGCAAUGCACGUUGUGCGUCCGUCAUGUUCGUCGUAUCCGUGUUCAGGAGCUGCAUAUCGAGCUCCCUCUCUCGGAUAUCGUUCCUCCGCUGGUACUGGGCGGUGAAUGCCCUCAUCUGCGCGUCGUUCCUAUCCAACCUCUCCACAAUUUCUGGUGGAGGAUCCGAGCUCGUAUGCGACGCUGCUGUCUUCCCUUUCCCUUUCUCCGCCGCCUUCGCCGCCUUCGCCGCCUUGUUGCCAAUGGGCCGAGCAGAAGAGAUCUCCUCGCCCGACGCCGAGGUGGUGAAGCCGCCCUCUUCCGUAGUCUUUGUCCUCUUGGAGGCAUGCACGUCUCCAAGGAGGUACAUCGACUUGAACUUGGGAUUGUUCCGGAGAACUCUCCACGCGUUCCAGAAAUUGAAGGAGGCAUUGGUUGGGCUUCUAGCCUUGAAGAUGGUUUGGGCCUUUUCACGAAUCAUAUCAUCCGAAUGACCGGACGGCCAAUUGUUGCGCGUCUCCACCCAAACAGCUUCCCAGAGACGCACAUCCGCGCUCACCCGGGACCAGUGGCCUUGAAGUUGCUUGAUGCCGAGGUCGACGCCGAGGAUGGGGUUCACACGUUCGCGGAUCCGGCCCCAAUAUGACUCUCCCUUCUGAUCCGUCCCACGGAUCGAGUCGUUGGUCUCCUCCGCCCAAAUUUGGACGAUGAGAUCCGUAUGCUGUGGAAGGUAAGUAUGACGGUAAACUUUUGGUUUGUCGUGCUUCAUUUUGGUGGCCUUUUCCUUCCUCCGGCCGCCUUUUUUUGGUGGGGAGACACUCUGCUGAGCACUCACCGGUUCCUCCUCGGGCGGGCUCUCCUCCAAGUUGAUUCCUCCCAUAUCGGGAUGAUAAUCGGAGGAGAGAUCAGGGCACCAAUUUGGAUCGUAGAAAGGGUUGUGUGGAUCCAUGACGGAGAAAAUUGUAGGAGAAGAAGAGGUGUGAAGAGAAGAAGGAAGAAGAAAGAAG